AUUGAACGCUGGCGGCAGGCUUAACACAUGCAAGUCGAGCGGAGCGAGGGUGCUUGCACCUUAGCUUAGCGGCGGACGGGUGAGUAAUGCUUAGGAAUCUGCCUAUUAGUGGGGGACAACAUUCCGAAAGGGAUGCUAAUACCGCAUACGCCCUACGGGGGAAAGCAGGGGAUCUUCGGACCUUGCGCUAAUAGAUGAGCCUAAGUCGGAUUAGCUAGUUGGUGGGGUAAAGGCCUACCAAGGCGACGAUCUGUAGCGGGUCUGAGAGGAUGAUCCGCCACACUGGGACUGAGACACGGCCCAGACUCCUACGGGAGGCAGCAGUGGGGAAUAUUGGACAAUGGGGGGAACCCUGAUCCAGCCAUGCCGCGUGUGUGAAGAAGGCCUUUUGGUUGUAAAGCACUUUAAGCGAGGAGGAGGCGCUCUAGGAUAA
rnacentral:rRNA from 1 species